rnacentral:rRNA from 1 species
GACUUUGGCACGCCUUAAAAUUGUCAAUUUAGAACUGUUUCGGUCUCGGAGAACCCGACUGUUUAAUUAAAACAAAGCAAAGUGAUGGUCGCAAAUAUUGAUGUUGACACUUUGUGAUUUCUGCCCAGUGCUUUGAAUGUCAAUUUGAAGAAAUUCACCCAAGCGCAGGUCAACGGCGGGAGUAACUAUGACUCUCUUAAGGUAGCCAAAUGCCUCGUCAUUUAAUUGGUGACGCGCAUGAAUGGAUUAACGAGGUUCUCACUGUCCCUACUUACUAUCUAGCGAAGCAGCAGCAAAGGGAACGGACUUUGCAAAGACAGCGGGGAAAGAAGACCCUAUCGAGCUUGACUCUAGGUGUGAUAUUGUGAAAUGAUUUAAAAGGUGUAGAAUAAGGGGGAGAGGCUUGCUUCGAACUUGAAAUACCCCUACUUUUAACAUUGUUUUACUUAAAUAAUGAAUAAAGAAAAAGAUGUGCGUUUGUAUGUUUACAUGCGGCGUCGUCUUUCUUUAAGCAAACACGGCGAGAGUGAUGGUGGCGCAGGUGUGUGAGUGGCAAAGGUGUUGUAAACGAAUUGCAGUUGUUUUUAAUUAAACCUGUAUUCUUUGCGGCAUUCACUCGCACACUCUACGUCGCCACUCGCCAACUUUUGUUAUUGACAUUAUCAGCUGGGGAGUUUGGCUGGGGCGGCACAUCCGUUAAACAAUAACGCGGGUGUUCUAAGACAAGCUCAGAUAGAACAGAAAUCUAUCGUAGACGAUAAAACGAAAAGCUUGUUUGAUUUUGAUUUUCAGUACUAAUACAAACCGUGAAAGCGUGAUUUUGCGAUCCUUUAUAUUUUCGCUAUAAAUGAAUAAAUGUUUCUAUAGAGGUGUCAGAAAAGUUACCAUAGGGAUAACUGGCUUGUGGCCGCAGAGAGCUCAGAUCGACGUGGCUUUUUGAUUCUUCGAUGUCGGCUCUUCCUAUCCAUCCGAAGCAGAAUUCGGAUAGGGUGUGAUUGUUCACCACUGAAAAGGGAACGUGAGCUGGGUUUAGACCGUCGUGAGACAGGUUAGUUUUACCCUACUG